AUCCUUUUGUGGUUCACAAGCACAGCGACUGGGUUUUCACACUCGUGUGAGAUGUGCCGCUCUCAAACCUUAUUAUGACAUCAGCACAUUGCCUAUCGGAUG
rnacentral:snoRNA from 1 species